GAUGAACGCUGGCGGCGUGCCUAAUACAUGCAAGUCGAGCGAACGGACGAGAAGCUUGCUUCUCUGAUGUUAGCGGCGGACGGGUGAGUAACACGUGGAUAACCUACCUAUAAGACUGUGAUAACUUCGGGAAACCGUAGCUAAUACCGGAUAAUAUUUUGAACCGCAUGGUUCAAAAGUGAAAGACGGUCUUGCUGUCACUUAUAGAUGGAUCCGCGCUGCAUUAGCUAGUUGGUAAGGUAACGGCUUACCAAGGCAACGAUGCAUAGCCGACCUGAGAGGGUGAUCGGCCACACUGGAACUGAGACACGGUCCAGACUCCUACGGGAGGCAGCAGUAGGGAAUCUUCCGCAAUGGGCGAAAGCCUGACGGAGCAACGCCGCGUGAGUGAUGAAGGUCUUCGGAUCGUAAAACUCUGUUAUUAGGGAAGAACAUAUGUGUAAGUAACUGUGCACAUCUUGACGGUACCUAAUCAGAAAGCCACGGCUAACUACGUG
rnacentral:rRNA from 1 species